UACAGAGGGUGCAAGCAUUGUUCGGAAUUAUUGGGCGUAAAGGGCGUGUAGGCGGUUCGAUAAGUCAGGUGUGAAAUCCCUGGGCUCAACCCAGGAACUGCAUUUGAUACUGUUGGACUUGAGUAUGGUAGAGGAUAGUGGAAUUCCCGGUGUAGAGGUGAAAUUCGUAGAGAUCGGGAGGAACACCAGUGGCGAAAGCGGCUAUCUGGGCCAUUACUGACGCUAAGACGCGAGAGCGUGGGGAGCAAACAGG
rnacentral:rRNA from 1 species